AUUGAACGCUGGCGGCAGGCCUAACACAUGCAAGUCGAGCGGAUGAAGGGAGCUUGCUCCUGGAUUCAGCGGCGGACGGGUGAGUAAUGCCUAGGAAUCUGCCUGGUAGUGGGGGAUAACGUCCGGAAACGGGCGCUAAUACCGCAUACGUCCUGAGGGAGAAAGUGGGGGAUCUUCGGACCUCACGCUAUCAGAUGAGCCUAGGUCGGAUUAGCUAGUUGGUGGGGUAAAGGCCUACCAAGGCGACGAUCCGUAACUGGUCUGAGAGGAUGAUCAGUCACACUGGAACUGAGACACGGUCCAGACUCCUACGGGAGGCAGCAGUGGGGAAUAUUGGACAAUGGGCGAAAGCCUGAUCCAGCCAUGCCGCGUGUGUGAAGAAGGUCUUCGGAUUGUAAAGCACUAUAAGUUGGGAGGAAGGGCAGUAAGUUAAUACCUUGCUGUUUUGACGUUACCAACAGAAUAAGCACCGGCUAACUUCGUA
rnacentral:rRNA from 1 species